GACGAACGCUGGCGGCGUGCUUAACACAUGCAAGUCGAACGGAAAGGCCCUGCUUUUGUGGGGUGCUCGAGUGGCGAACGGGUGAGUAACACGUGAGUAACCUGCCCUUGACUUUGGGAUAACUUCAGGAAACUGGGGCUAAUACCGGAUAGGAGCUCCUGCUGCAUGGUGGGGGUUGGAAAGUUUCGGCGGUUGGGGAUGGACUCGCGGCUUAUCAGCUUGUUGGUUGGGUAGUGGCUUGCCAAGGCUUUGACGGGUAGCCGGCCUGAGAGGGUGACCGGCCACAUUGGGACUGAGAUACGGCCCAGACUCCUACGGGAGGCAGAAGUGGGGAAUAUUGCACAAUGGGCGGAAGCCUGAUGAAGCAACGCCGCGUGCGGGAUGACGGCCUUCGGGUUGUAAACCGCUUUCGCCUGUGACGAAGCGUGAGUGACGGUAAUGGGUAAAGAAGCACCGGCUAACUACGUG
rnacentral:rRNA from 1 species